UACGUAGGGUGCGAGCGUUGUCCGGAAUUAUUGGGCGUAAAGGGCUCGUAGGCGGUUUGUCACGUCGGGAGUGAAAACUCGGGGCUUAACCCCGAGCCUGCUUCCGAUACGGGCUGACUAGAGGUAUGCAGGGGAGAACGGAAUUCCUGGUGUAGCGGUGAAAUGCGCAGAUAUCAGGAGGAACACCGGUGGCGAAGGCGGUUCUCUGGGCAUUACCUGACGCUGAGACGCGAAAGCGUGGGGAGCGAACAGG
rnacentral:rRNA from 1 species